CAAUAGCGUAUAUUAAAGUUGUUGCGGUUAAAAAGCUCGUAGUUGGAUUUCUGCUGAGAACGACCGGUCCGCCCUCUGGGUGUGUAUCUGGCUCUUUCUUGGCAUCUUCUUGGUGAACGUUGCUGCACUUGACUGUGUGGAGCGCUACCCAGGACUUUUACUUUGAGGAAAUUAGAGUGUUUCAAGCAGGCAUACGCCUUGAAUACAUUAGCAUGGAAUAAUAAGAUAGGACCUCGGUUCUAUUUUGUUGGUUUCUAGAGCUGAGGUAAUGAUUAAUAGGGAUAGUUGGGGGCAUUCGUAUUUAACUGUCAGAGGCGAAAUUCUUGGAUUUGUUAAAGACGGACUACUGCGAAAGCAUUAGCCAAGGAUGUUUUCAUUGA
rnacentral:rRNA from 1 species